CUAUCUCAAUCUUCUCAAACUUCUAGCUGUAGGGACAUACUUAGCAAAACAUUAAAUGUCCGUGAGUAUUCUGGUCGUGUAAGGGGUAUGGGGUUGGGGGUCACUCAAACAGUUCUUAAUAAAAGUCAAAAGAAAAGUGAAAAAAAUCCCAGUACUAGAGAAUUAUUGGCCAUUAUUCAAAACCUAUCAUCUGACCUUGAUCAAUUGAAAAAGGAAAGGGGAAAAGAUAUCUCAAGAAGUCAACAGGAUAUGCAUAUCCCUAAUGACAAAGAUAGUACCAACAUUGAUGUUUUGAAGAAUAUUCACGAGGGUAUAUCACCUUGUUCAUUGUACUUGCUGUCUCCUACUUAUCGCAUAGUCGCUAAGAGAAUGGUACACAACAUCUUGGGAGAUAAACUUCACCAUAAGCCACUCCCUGAUAGCUAUUUGAAAGUAUCAAUUGAUGUUGCUUUAGAUCAGGAUGCAGAGUUGCCCAUACCUGACGAUGUUGCUGAUAUAAGGUUGGUUAGAGAUGCAAUAGGAACAUAUGUGGCAUGGCAAAGAAACCUCAUUUCCCUUAAUCUUGAGAUUCCUGCAACAUAUAAAGGCAAUGGUAAUGACGGGAUUAGGAGGGGUGACGAGUCGGUCACUUAAAAAAAACAGAUUCAAACACAAAAAUUGCAUGAAGGCACAAAAAUCAUCCAGGAUAAACCAAGAAAUAUGUCUCAAGCACAAAAGUUGAAAGAAGUCACCAAUAAGGGUAGACAUAGCAAUAUUCCAAUCACAAAACAAAAACAAGAUAUUGCAAAAACCAAACAUCAAAAGCCUAACUCUACAAAGUGUCGUCCAUCAUGGGUGUCAGCUCUUAAAUCAUUGGUGGAAGUGCAAAUGGAAAACUCAGAUACGCGUCAGGUAACUAUGAGUUUUUCGAAAAUACAGAAAUAGGUGUCUCUGUUGUCUGCGUAUAUAUCAGGUACUUGUAUGAGAAGUUUGUGCGCGACACUGAUUUCCCAAGGAAAUUCUCCUUCUUAUCCCCCAUCGAAUAUCCUUGGUGUUAAUUGAAGCAGAACAAGAAUUGGUCAAAGAAUACAUGGUUAAGAUGAGCGCUAGUUAUUUAUUCUACCAUUUUAUAUACAUAAGCCUAUUGGACAUUGGGUGUUAUUUGUCAUUAAUCCCAUAUCGGAUAUCAUAUAUUAUAUGGAUCCAUUACUCAAUGACUAUAUGAAUUACCCAAAAAUGAAGAGUAUGUUUGACACAGUUCUAAAGGUAUUUCGCUCUGCAAGGGACGCUCAAGUAUCAAAGAAUAAUUUAACAACAUAUCAUGGGUCCGU